UUUUUUUUUAGAUCUGAUUCUGAAAUUUCGUUUUGUUAGGUGCUAAUGGAUGCGAUUUUGAGUUUCUCGAUCGGUCUCAUACAAUUUCUCAGAAACCGAAUUGGAAUGAAACCUUGGAGAUGGGAAGCUGCAUAGACGAGACCCGCUGCUAUUAUUUUCACGGUGAAACUGAAAUCUACGUUCCUUCAUUUCCUUUUCCAUUACUUCAAAAUUUUAGGCCUCUAUUAAAUUUGGAAAAAACGGAAACGACGACGGUUUCCCAAACAAAUCUUCUACCUCUUAGAUUAAGGAGUUUGGUAGAGGAGAGACUGGACUUGGAGAAGAUGAUGCUUGGGAGUUGGUUCAAUGUUAUGGGGUUACAUUGCCAAAACAUUUAAUUGAUGCGACUGAGUGUAUUGUACAGCAGAAAAAUCAGAACACUAAAGAGGGAGAAGCGCUGUUGUUAAUUACCGGAUAACAUAUUGGCUCUCUUUAAAUGCAUGUUAUCAAUUGCCUUGGCACUA